GAAAUGCGAUAAGGAGUGUGAAUUGCAGAAUUCAGUGAAUCAUCGAAUCUUUGAACGCACAUUGCGCCCCUUGGUAUUCCAUGGGGCAUGCCUGUUCGAGCGUCAUUUGUACCCUCAAGCUCUGCUUGGUGUUGGGUGUUUGUCCCGUCUCCGCGCGUGGACUCGCCCCAAAGUGAUUGGCAGCCGGCGUACUGGUCCCGGAGCGCAGCACAUGUCGCGCAAACGAGUGCCUUGGUACGGCGGCGUCCAUAAGCCCCUCUCUCACGCUCUUGACCUCGGAUCAGGUAGGGAUACCCGCUGAACUUAAGC
rnacentral:misc_RNA from 1 species